rnacentral:lncRNA from 1 species
UUUUUCCUUAAUUUAUUUUUCUACCACACAAGAAACAUGAGUUGCCUGCAUUUUUUUCCCUGAUUGCCUACACAUAUACUCAACUUGCCCAAAAGCUUUGACAAGUUUGAAGAUCAACCAAAAAACAACAGCCUCGCGCAACCUACAACACUCUGCAGAUACUUGCAAAAAAUUCAAGCAUAAACUAGAAUAGUAAUUUCAAGAGAGGGUUUCCAUGUGUUUUCAGCACGAGUUGCCUGGAAAUCAUUCCAGACUUGCAUGCACAUCAUACCAACCUGCGCCGCUUCUGCAUGCGCAGCAGUCAAGAGCUCGGCGAACAGGAGGUGGAGGUACGAGUAGGCGAUGCGUGAGCUGUGUCGAGGUUCGUGCUGCCGUCAAAGAGCUCGUGCAAUCGCCCGCAAAUUUCCGGUAAGCAACUCGUUCUCGAUUCAGCAGUUUUUUCGCAGUAAAUCAGCCGGUUUUCACUGCAGGAGGGUGACCGAUGGGGAUGCGUGUGCGAGAUGAGGUGUCAUGUCCGCGCAAGGGGCUGGUUAUAGGAGCGUUAGAUGCGUGAAUAAUUGGGGUUUGUGGUUCGUGAGAUGCACGAGGGGCUUGAGAGAGAGAGAGAGAGAAUAAUUGGGGUUUGUGGUUCGUGAGAUGCACAACGAGGGGCUAGAGAGAGAGAGAGAGAGAGAGUAAACUAUUCUAACUGUAGUUUAGAGGGGAGUAGCAGAGGAUGUAGCAGAUGUUGCCCGUUUUCUGUAAUGAGAUCUGCCAGGCUACCCGUAUGAGAUUUGCUUGAUCCAUCUGCUAGUACCGAGGGGGAAGUAAUUGCAUCCUAUGAGUAACAUGAGAUAGUUUUGAGAUAUCUUGUCAGAUUUUCUGUAGUGAUAUAUGGAGUAUAUGACAUUGAUAUCCUUGAUAUAAUUACCCGACUAGCAUCUGCUAUACUUUUCCUUGGGAACUUUUGCCUAAUACUUGUUUUCUUACUUGCCUGCUAUUUGUCAGGGGUUUUGCCUAAUAGCUGUUUGUCUAUAUGCCUAUGUAUUUUGUCAAGAUUUUUAUCAAUCCAUUAUUGGCACUGUUUUUGUCAACUGCAAUUAGUUUUCUGAAUAGGUGUCCAUUGAUUUCAGUUUUCUCAAUAGGGAUAUCCAUUAGUUACACAUCAUAAAAAACUGGAUAAAAUCCUUAACUUCCUCCAUCAUACCUUGUACUGGGCAGUAGAUAAAAUAGUACAUCUUGAUUUUUUUAGAUCAGAGCACAACUUGCCGGCAACCUCUAAUGCAUUUGCCCACGGGACACAGCACAACUUGAUUUUUUAGGACAUUUUCUUUUCAAGGAACCAAAUAUAGGUCCACACAAGUUAAAAUAGAGUUCCUCACAAUAUAGAUUCACGUUUUUUCCAGAAUAUUUUUCUUCGGCAAGCAAGCUAAUGAGUGGCUGCAGAAUCUAUGGGAAUUGCAUACAAACCCAGUACGAGUUGCUAAAUUUUAAUCUUUUUCUAAACAAAACCUUGAGUUGCCUGUAUAUACUAUGCAAUUUGCUUAGAUUAGAGCACUACUUGCUUACAACCACUAAUGCACAUUUCCUAGGGGACACACCACAACUUGAUGUUCACACAAUAUAGGUCCACAUUGUGGACGAUGAAAAGUGUUCGAUCCACAAUGCGCGCGACGGGAGGGGGGACGCCGAGGUGGAAUUUUUGCAGGCAACAUGCUGGGAGGCGGUUGUUGGAUGGGGGGGCGAGAGGGAUAGGGCGGAUAGGAAUGGCACUUCUGUUAAGCAAGCAAAAGUAAGAAGUCGUGGACUAUACUCUAGACCGAGAAAGUAUGCAGAAAAAAAACAUGCUUUCUUCUAGUCAAUCUAUAAUAUUUGUGCGCAUUGGGUUCUAGCCAAAAAAUAUGCUUUCUUCUAGAGCCAAGGGGGCAGUGCCAUCUGUGCGGCACGACCACCUAGUGGGGUGGAGCUAGAUCCGGGAAAGCAUUGUCUCGAGUGGUCGAGGAACUAGGCCGCAAAUCAUUGUAAGUAUCUCGAAAUCGACCCCCUAAGCAUGUGUUUCUCUACUCACAUCUACAAUUCUAUGUGAUAGAGGCGGAAUAGGGAGGUUGAAGAGGGGUGUGGGGGUCCCAUGUUUAUGGGCGAAUUGAUGAUUUUGAGCGCGGCGGUGGUUUGCGACUUGGGGAUGUGGGGGGCUGGAAUCGGGUACUGAUUUCAGCAGAAAGUUUUCAAAACUUGCCCAACGCAUGACAGUUAGUUGCUAGAGAUGCCGGUGUAAGUCGCCCAAAGAUCCGGUCCCGAGAUGGGGGGCUGGAAUCGUCGAUGAUUCGAGCCGAAAGUAUCCAAAACUUGCCCAACUCAUGAUAGGUAGUUGCUAGAGAUGCUAGCGUAAGUUGCCAAAGAUCCGCCCCAAUAUAUUGGGGCUGGAAUCGUCUAUGACUUGAGCUGAAAGUGUCCAAAACUUGCCCAACGCAUGAUAGCUAGUCGCUAGAGAUGCCUGCAUAAGUUGCCAAAGAUCCGCUCCCGAGAAGCGGGCUCUGAAAUCGUCUAUGAUUUGAGCCAAAAGUGUCGAAAACUUGUCCAAGACAUGAUAGUUAGUUGCUAGAGAUGUUGGCAUGAGUUGCCCAAAGAUCCACUGCCGAGAUGCGGGGGCUGGAAUCGUCAAUGUUUUGAGCCAAAAGUGUCCAAACUUUCCCAACACAUGAUAGUUAGUUGCUAGAGAUGCUGGCGUGAGUUGCCCAAAGAUGAGAACAUUGGGUUUUAUUUUCGCCCAAAAUUUUCCCGAUGUAUGAUAGUUGGUUGCUAGAGAGGUUGGCGCGAGUUUCCCAAAGAUUUUUUUAGCAAAAAAAUGAUUUUAUUUUGCACACAAGUUGUGUUUUCUAAUCGGAUAAGUUGUCUACAUGUAAAUAGUUCUUGCCUAAAUCAUUUAAGUUUUGUAAAUAUGGUUUUGUAGACGUUUUUGCCUAAACAGAUUGUUUGUUCCGUUUGCAGGGCCUCACUGAAUUAUAAAGUCAAAGCAACAUUUUUUGAGGUUUUGUGCACAAGCCCAAACAAGAAGGUUCAACAUCCACUUCCUGGUAAGCUUCGCACAAAGAUAUCCAACUUUUUUAUUUCAGCAAAAAAAAAGUGGAGUUGCUUACUACCAACAGUGAUUUUUCUUAAACAAAUCCUAGAAUUUGGCUGCUCUUUUUUGUUUUCUCAACACAAUCCUAGUACCAAAAACAACUUAAGAAAAGCAUCAAGGGUUUCUCUGGAUGUACAACAGCCAGUAGUUCGAGAAAGGAAAUCAAAACAGUUUUCAUGUACAGACAGGACUAACUUUUUGUCAAUACUUGAUUUGCUUAAAAACCCGCUAUAGUUGCUCACUAAUUCCUUUUUACCUUUUUUUGCAAUAGAUGUAGUAAAAUCAAUACUGGCUGCUCAUGCCAGAAGAAACAAGGGGAAAACACUAAAAAAUAGUUGCAAUCAGGAUGAACAAGGUGAGAAAGAAAAUCAAACCUGCUCUUUCUUUUCCUCCUCUACACGCCAGGUCAUUCUGAUUCGAUGUGUGGGUUGGUUAGUUAAAUAUUAAACGAGAAAAAUAUGGGCCAAUUUUGCCUGAAUUUUUAUAUGCAAGUUUUUUCUUAGAAGAAAUCCAUAUAAAGGUGAAACAUUUUUAUCUGUUUUUUGCUUCUUGGGGUUUUGAGCAUGGGUGGCCUAUAAAUCAAUCUCUUUUUUCACAUGCAUACACAUCAGCCCUAGGAGAUACCUGUCCAAAAUCCAAUGCACAAGCUAAAAGCAGAACUUCAAGAGGGUUAUGUUUGUUUUUAUUCACACAACUAAAAAAACAUGAGUUGCCUGUAAACCAUUCCCUACUUGCCCAAACAUUAUAGAAACUUGCCUAGAUAUGUGAAUAGCUAGAAACACAACCAACACAGCAGCUACAGUUAGAGCAAAUCCCCAUAUAGAUACAUUGCCCAAAAUCCAGUAGUGAAAUUCACAACGAAACACAGCAGCUACUACUACAAUUGCGAAACAUGUAGUUCAACAAGACAUUUGCCCCAAAAUUCACUAGUAAAAGCCAAACCUUGUAACUUUGAAGACCUCUUUUUUCCUUAAUUUAUUUUUCUACCACACAAGAAACAUGAGUUGCCUGCAUUUUUUUCCCUGAUUGCCUACACAUAUACUCAACUUGCCCAAAAGCUUUGACAAGUUUGAAGAUCAACCAAAAAACAACAGCCUCGCGCAACCUACAACACUCUGCAGAUACUUGCAAAAAAUUCAAGCAUAAACUAGAAUAGUAAUUUCAAGAGAGGG